rnacentral:rRNA from 1 species
GACGAACGCUGGCGGCGUGCUUAACACAUGCAAGUCGAACGAAGUGGCGAACGGGUGAGUAACGCGUAAUCAACCUGCCAUUCAGAGGGGGAAAACAGUGGGAAACGACUGCUAAUAACGCAUACUGACGGAGGGGAAUGAGUGUGAUUAGCUAGUUGGAGGGGUAACGGCCGAACAAGGCGAAGAUCAGUAGCCGGUCUGAGAGGAUGAACGACCCCAUUUGGACUGAGACAAGGCCCAGACCACUACGGGAGGCAGCAGGGGGGAGUCUUCCGCAAUGGACGAAAGUCUGACGGAGCAACGCCGCGUGAGUUAUGACGGCCUUCGGGUUGUAAAGCUCUGUUAAUCGAGCCGCGGUACCGGAAUAGAAAGCCACGGCUAACUACGUGCCAGCCGCCGCGGUAAUUC